rnacentral:rRNA from 1 species
AUUGAACGCUGGCGGCAGGCCUAACACAUGCAAGUCGAGCGGAUGAAGGGAGCUUGCUCCUGGAUUCAGCGGCGGACGGGUGAGUAAUGCCUAGGAAUCUGCCUGGUAGUGGGGGAUAACGUCCGGAAACGGGCGCUAAUACCGCAUACGUCCUGAGGGAGAAAGUGGGGGAUCUUCGGACCUCACGCUAUCAGAUGAGCCUAGGUCGGAUUAGCUAGUUGGUGGGGUAAAGGCCUACCAAGGCGACGAUCCGUAACUGGUCUGAGAGGAUGAUCAGUCACACUGGAACUGAGACACGGUCCAGACUCCUACGGGAGGCAGCAGUGGGGAAUAUUGGACAAUGGGCGAAAGCCUGAUCCAGCCAUGCCGCGUGUGUGAAGAAGGUCUUCGGAUUGUAAAGCACUUUAAGUUGGGAGGAAGGGCAGUAAGUUAAUACCUUGCUGUUUUGACGUUACCAACAGAAUAAGAACCGGCUAACUUCGUGC